AUGUUCACCCAAUACCUAAACCUGAGCUCUCGACGAUUCUUAUCAGAAUAGCUCAGGAGGACCUUUUUCCCUGGUGUUGGCGCAGUAUUCGCGCACCCCGGCUUCGGU
rnacentral:sRNA from 1 species